ACGGAGGGUGCAAGCGUUAAUCGGAAUUACUGGGCGUAAAGAGUACGUAGGUGGUCUAUUAAGUCAGAUGUGAAAGCCCCGGGCUUAACCUGGGAACUGCAUUUGAUACUGGUAAACUAGAGUAUGGUAGAGGGGGGUAGAAUUCAUAGUGUAGCGGUGAAAUGCGUAGAUAUUAUGAGGAAUACCAGUGGCGAAGGCGGCCCCCUGGACCAAUACUGACACUGAGGUACGAAAGCGUGGGGAGCAAACAGG
rnacentral:rRNA from 1 species